rnacentral:lncRNA from 1 species
UUUUUUUUUUUUUUAGGUCUUUUUAUAGCAGAAUUUGGUUUUUCUUUAAGGUGCUCAAGUUUACGAAUCAGUUAAGCAAUUACAAGAUAUGGGAUAAGGAUGUAUCUGGUUCUAUUAAUUUCUUAUUAUGACUUCAUAAAGUACACUGAAGAAGAAAAAGUAGUAAUAUGAAUUCCUCAGUUUUCAUUAUUCCAUACUUGAUGUGGUUUAUUCUUCAAAUUGCAGGUGGUGAUGGGGAAAUUACAACAACUCAUUUGCUUCUUGGCAUUUGGUCUGAAGUGGAAUCACCUGGUCACAAGAUAAUGGCAGCUCUUGGCUUCAAUGAUGCCAAAUCUAAGGAGCUCACUUCGAGUUCUGAACCUGACUCUGUAGAUGGGUAGUACAUGCCUUUGGUACUCAUUGUGAGAUGUAAUUAUUCUCGUUAUUCGAAUGAUGAAUCCAUCUUUCGAAUGAUGUUGCCGGUCAUGCCUAUCCAUGCACUCAUAGAAGUUAAAAAAAGAACCUGGCAUUUUGCUUCCCUGUUUAGCUUGUUUGUUUGAGCUGUAUUCUGGAUGGACAUAUGAACAUGAUCAUCGUUCUCCAGCAUUUAAAGAAAGGUGCUGAAUUCUUCAAAUAUUUGUUUGCAACAUUCUUCAAGAUCAUAUCAAGUUCUUCAUAUGUAGAAUUUAGGCUCAUUAAAAUAGGCCUGAAUGAUAAUUCACGAGGAUUAAAAAUUCCUCUGUAUUACACUUAAUGGGUGAAAGCAGAUUGGAGAUUGGUGUUAGUGUCUAUGUUAUGCUGUGUGGCUUGCUUUGAAGCUCUAACAAUCCUAUCAUCGUGUGAUGUUCGUACUUCGUUGUCAUUUACCUUGUUAACUGUUUCCAGAUUCCCAUCAGAGGCAAGUAUAUGUGCCUUAUCGGCUUCUUCAUGCCACCUUAUUCUCACUACCAUCAUCAACAACAAUGCCAAACAUGUUGCCAUCCCAACUAAAAAUCCUAGCAAUAACCCGCUCAGUCCAAGUGCAGCUUUGAAGGCCAGUACAACACCCAACGGUAAAGCUAAGAGAUAGAAGCCCCCAAGAUUGGCAUACAUCGCCAACCAUGGUCGAGCUGUUCCACGAACAAUUCCUCCACAAACAGCUAAGGGGAAGUUUACAACUUCAAUCACUGCCAUUAGCAACAUCAUCUUUUUCACUCCUGUUAUGAUCUCUUUUUCAUGGCUAAAUAGAGGAGCCCAAACGCCUCUUGCACCCACCAUUACCAAUGCCCCAAAGCAACCAGAAAUUGUGCUCACUGCAAGUGAUACGUAUGCUGACUGGUAGGCUGCAACAGGCUGAUUUGCACCGAGCUCAUUUGAUACACGAGUGGAUGCACAUGUGGCUAGUGACAACAUCACAGAGUAGAGCAAGUAGUCGAAGUUCAGAACGAUAGCAAUCACUCCGACUGCCUGCUUGGCAUUUCGUAGCCUUCCGGUAAGCAAGACCAAAAUCUCAUAGCACCACCAUUCAAGGCAGGUGGUAAGACAACAUGGUCCACUAAGCUUGAGCAGUCUAAGGCAGUCUUCAACACGUUGAUCCCACCAGCCUCCCUCAUUCCAUUUCCCUCCCUUUCUAAUCUCUUUCACCACUACAUACAAGACUAGAAGGAUUGCAGCUAUGAGAUCACUUAUCCAGAUUGCCAUUGAAACCCCUUCAAGACCCUUAGCUUUUGCAAGAAAGAUAUUGAUGGGGAUGUGAAAAGCAAGCGCUAAAGCCGAGCUAAACAUAAUGGGGAUUGUUAUGCUUUGAGAGCUCAAAUAGGCCUUGAGAGGGCAUAGCAAUGAAGUGACAACCAAGUCAGGGAGAAGAUAGAAAAGAUAUGUCUUUGCAACUGCUGAAAUGUCUUCUUUUUGGCCAAAAUGGAUUAGAAUUUUAUCAACAUUAAGCCAUAGGAAAGAAAGAGGCAGUGUAGUUAACAGUAACAAGAUUAUGGUCAUCAAAAGUGUCUUGUGAAGGAGCCUGAAGUUUUUAGCUCCAAAAGCUUGACCACAGAUAGGUUCCAUGGCACCACAAAGUCCAUUGAGGACGGAGAAACCUGUGACAUUAGCGAAGGUGAAACCGAGUGUGCCACCAGCUAACUGGAGCUCCCCUAGCCUGCCUAGAAAAGCUGUAGUCACCGCGAUCUUCACAAACCAGGUUAAGUUCAUGGCCACCAAAGGAAGUGCUAGUCCUCUCUGUAUUUUCAGCUCUGAAAGCAUUAUCUGUAUUAGGUUGGCCGGCCAUUUCUUGGUGGGAUAUGAAACUGAAGGUGACUGAGAUGGUUUGUCAGUUGGGAUCUCUUCCACUCUUGAUGUUGCAGUUGCAGGCAUUAUGGAAGAAAAUUGGUGGGGUUGCUUCAAAAUCCGAAUAUAUAAGAUGGGAAAUCUGGUUUCUUAAAUAAGUAUGAAUUGAAGGCUUAGUGUUUGCUAGUGCACGAGUUUUUUGUGAGGAUAUCAGUUUCUGAAGGAGCAAAUAAGGUGCCUAUUUGUUGCAAGUUCGUAACAGCCAAUUAAUGAAAAGAGAGUUGAGCUGUUGAUUUAAAGUGCGUGAUGAUAAGGCAAAGUUCCAAAGGACAAAUCACCUUUAUAUCUCGUGAGAUAUUCGUUUCAGUGGUUUUUUCUUUCCUUAGAAUAUUUACUAUUGCUGCUUUGGAAUAGUUUUACUAUCUAACUAACCUUUCUAUUUAGCACUUGAUUCAUUGCUUAAAUAGUAACUAAGAUUGUCCUGUAAGGUAAUCAACCAGACGCUUUGCAUGCUUUCUUUUGUUCAUAUAGGGCGAAUAUAGCAUUGAAACAAGGGUAGUUGAAAAAUCAUCUCCAUGUGAGAAGUUUUAAGAGGAAACUAAAUAAAGAACAUUAUCACAUAAUAUUCAAGAGAAAAACAACAUGUUUUCAUCUGGUUUUCAUUUACCCUUUACAUUGCAUUGCAAUUCUAAGGGGUAAAAUGAUUGGAGGAUUAAUAUAAUGAAGGUGGGAGAUUUGGUGUAAAAGGCGUAAGCAAUAAUGCGGUGGUCCUUCAUCUGUUAGCUGCUUUGCGUUUUGAGGAUGAAUCGGGUUUCACUAAAAAUUCUAAGCUAUAAGGAACCAAAAGUGGGGUAGCUAUGCCACUCCAUAUCUAAGCUUUUUGCUUUCAUUUUCUAAAGUAAAUAAUAGUUUAUUUAAUAUUCUUAUCACUUCAUAUUUCUUCAGUUUACAUUCAACUGAGUUUACUUCUCUACAUUUGUAUCGUGCAAUUAGGCAGGAGAAUAUGAGGUUGAAUAAAUCAGUUACAUGUAUUCUUACAGAUAAGUGCAGAGACAUGGCUACUUAAUCUGUGGAAAAGAGGAAUUAGAGUAUAUGUCGAAUGGAAUCAAUAGUAUUUUAUGUGAAAAAUUCUUAGGAAUCACAUGUAGAAGGAAUGUAAGGAGUGCUACUUUAACGGAAGCAUUGUAGAAAGUAAUGGCUUUUUCACCGAGGUUUGAUUCCGUUCGGUUUUCUCAAAUUUUUUUCUCAGCCAUAUUGUUCACUAACAGAUUAUAUGUUAUUGCCUUAAUUUAGUAGCCUGAGAGGGAAGAAAACAUUGAGCCUUUCGAGAUAAACAGGAUCCCAAUUACCAUAUCUUAUCAUAGUGGAAGUAAAAGGGGCUAAGAAUACAACUUUGUAAGAUAUGCUAUCAGUGGGAUUUCAAGGAACUAUGCACCACUUCCCAAUAUUAGAAAAAAGGGUACUUUUUCCUAAAAAGGAAGAGGCACCUGGUUUUCUUUCUGUUGGCUUUUCUUUGUAAGGAAGAAAAGAAAGACAAACCAAAGUUUGUGACUUGUUACAUUUUUCAGUUUCAGUACAUAAUUUACAUACAAAGUGUAGCCUUAUAUAGGAAAAAUAUUACCAACUGCAAUUUGACAAGUUGGAAAGCCUAAGAACUUGAAAUUACACAUUGGCAAUAGCACCGUUAAAAUUAUCCUAUCAAAUUUAAGAUAAAUAAAAUAAGCUAACAACUUUUCUAAACAAGUUGGCAACUUGCCAACAUGUAUCAAACAUCGGGAUAGUCUAUAGUACCUCAACUUGGCAUAGUCAGUUAGCAUCUUGAUAGUCAGUUGGCAAUAGCUAGGCAGCUUGCGUCUUGUGUAUCCGCGAGUCUUGUUCGUAUUUGGACAAUCCGCCAGAUAGUCCGCCAAAGGUUGUCAGCUAGAUAGUUCUCCAACUGACAAUCCACCAUUCUUCUUGCAUUUGGCCUAUCCGUCGGAUGACUUACACCAUUGUUGUUCACGGGACUGCAUGUUCUUGAUUUGUUCGCACUUUGCUUGUCCGCCAAAUGUGCGAGCUGUUGCAUGAAUGGGCUCUCAGAACACUUUCAUUUUCACUUUCUAAUUGUAUAGAAAAGAAAAGAUAGAGAAACCAAUCUAUUUUGGUUUGAUGCAGAUGUUGCAGUCCACUAGGUUGGAGAUGUACGCACGGUAGCAUAGUGUUAUUAUCAAACAAAUUAAUGAACUACCAAUCCUCUAUCAUUGAUUGCACACAAAUUUUAUCAUAAUGAGCUGUUUGGAUGCAAUGAAAAUUCAAGUCUCUAAUCUCUAUACAUCGCCCUUCACUGCAGCAAGGGAAAAAAAAUCAACCAUAUACUUCUAUCGUUGGAAAGAUCCAAUGGCCUCUCAAAAGUUCUAAAAGGAUACGAAAUAUACGAAAUAGGUAUGUCGGCAGAUAUUAUUACUAUGAGCAGCAGCAAGUGAACUAGAGAGCAAAAGGGUAGUAAACAGUCGAUUUAUAAUCUCUAUUAAGAUAUGUUCUUGAAAUUGUUCAAGAAAAUUUUGUGUGCUUUCUCGAGAGGCAUUGGCCUUAUUUGAUGAAAGAUGCACGGUCGGAAAUGAUUGAGCAAUAUCUGGCUGGAAAGCCACCUCAUCUUCCAACUUCUUUUGUUUCUCUUCAUCUAAUUAAGCAAUCUUAGGCUAUUCGGAGAUAAGUCCCAAGUUGCAAUUUAUAUCGGUCCUAUAAUAAUUAAGCCAUGAAGAUUAUGUGUUUAGUGAAAGCCACACUGUCAAAGGGCCAACUCCUGUUGGUAAACAUUGCACUAAGUUGAUAAAUCAGGAAUACGAGUUAAAUAAUUUGAGGCAUGUUAGGCACUACUUUUAAGAAUAUUUUGUCAUAAUGUGUAUUUUUAGGACUCAACAAGCUCAUUCGUUAUAAAAAUACGGAAAAGAAUCAACAAUAGAUCACGACGAAAAGUACUUAACAAUCACAAAAAAAUGAAGAGGACGAGCAAGAGAGGAAUAAUAGAGUUUUUUUAUGGUGUGUUUAGAAUGAAAGUGAGCCAAGAUAUUUUAGAAUAGCAAAUGUAAGUUGAGUAAAAUAAAGUAAGAGGAUUUCCCUUAAACAAAAAUAAUUUUAAAAAAUGGUUUAACUAAUUUAGACUUGACUAAAUAUAGCUUCGUAUAAGCUAUUUUUAGCUUUAACCUUUUAGAAAUUUAGUAAAUAAAAAGUCUAGAAACAAAAGGGUUUGGAUGCCGUGAUGUAUCACGUGCGGCGGGGGUGGCGGGGGGAUCGAUCAAUUUACAUUGGUCUUUUGAGCCUAGUUCUCAUGCGUGCUUGAUGGGUUCCGAGUCCACUAAAAAUAAUAUUCCUACACUUAAAUAGUAUAUAAAUAGUAAUAUAUGGAGUAGGGUUGAUCCCACAAAAACUGGGAUAUCUAAAAUUGUUGUUCGAUUUAACCAAGUUGUAUGUUAGGCAACUGUCGUGCCUAAGAUGUGUGACAAUCUGUGUGAAAAUAAAAAGGGAGUAUUAAAUCUAGUUAAAAUGAAAACAAUAGAAAUAAUUAAAAUCAAAAUAGCAGUAAAAUAAACAAAAAUGAAAUUAUAUUGACUAAAUUGAUGUGACGAUGUUCUAACUUUAGGCUCGAUUUUAGCUCCGGUUUUAAACCAAUCUUUAAUAACAAGUUUUCUCAUUUAAUUGGUAAGUUAGUUAUAGUGAUCGAGGAUGCUUUAGACCAAUAACUCUUCCAUGUGUAAAUUAAUUGCGCGAAUGCUCGACAUAUAACCCUUACUGAAUGAACAACCACAAAACACGUAUCCACGAUUUAACUCUUCGGUAGCCUUACGAACUAGAAGGGCCCAACUCAAAUCAACAACCUCAACUGCGUAGAUCGUUUAAAUACCAUUUCCCUUGAUGAAUCCAACCACUCACUCAAUUGAACAUUCCAGUGACGAAGCUAAAGGGGUUGACAGGGUCUUGCCCAUAAAAUAAAAAAUUCCUUUAUAAUUUAUAAAAUUUUAAAUUAAUAAAAAUAAAUUUAUACUUGGUCCCUCAAAUGCUACGAUUCUUAUCCUAGCUAACUACACCUAUAUCACCCAAUAAUUAAUUAGCUUUCUUGUUCCAAUUCCACUCUUUACUGAUUUAAAUAUUGGUUGGAAUUUAUGGUAAGCUUAAUCAAGUGACACUAAUGGGGCCAAACCAAUCAUGAUAUUAUUAUUAUAGUAUUUGAUUUGAUUUUUAGUGGAAUCAGAGUUGUACCUCUUAACUUUGUUUCACUCCAUAAAUGAUGGGUGCAUGAUGACAACACAACUUGAAUAACUUUCCAAGUGAGUCAAGGAAAGAAACACUAAAAAGACAGAGACAGCAAAACGAAAAAUAAAGUUAAAAUUUUCUUGUACUCAAGUUUAAGGCCUCUCAUUUUCUGGUCUCCACUUAACUCUUAUAAUUGCCAAACAAAAUGGAUGGGUUUUCUUUGCCAAAUUUGAAAAUGGUUCCAUAUAAGUUAUCUAUCAAUUGAAAUGCACCCAAAAGUGUUCCAACUAUCUGCAUUUUAGUGUUAUGUGUGAAUUCUCAACCCUUAAGUCUUGUAUACAAAUUAAAUGGUUCCAUAGACAUUUUUGGGAUGGCCUAGGAAAAUCUAAGCUCUGUGCGGUAUCAUCUUCAACACCUCACCGCACUUAAAGAGAUUCAUUGCAUAUUCAGAACUUCAAUGGAGUGUAAGCUUAGCUGGACAUGUUGGGAAACCUAGCACUUUGCUUCCCUGUUUAGCUUGUUUCUUUGAGCUGUAUUCUGAAUGGACAUAUGAGCAUGACCAUUGUUCUCCAGCAUCCCUGUAAAGCUGUUGCAUUCUGCAAAUUCUUGUCUAGGACAUUCUUCAAGGUCAUAUGAAGUUCUUCAUAUGUAGAAUUCAUGGCAUUGAAGCUCUAACAAUCUUAUCAUCGUGUGCUUUUCAUACUUCGUUGUCAUUUACCUUGUUAACUGUUUCCAGAUUCCCAUCAGAGGCAAGUAUAUGCGCCUUAUCGGCUUCUUCAUGCCACUUUAUUCUCACAACCAUCACCAACAACAAUGCCAAACAUGUUGCCAUCCCAACUAAAAGUCCUAUCAAUAACCCGCUCAGUCCAAGUGCAGCUUUGAAUGCCAAAACAACACCCAACGGUAAAGCUAAGAGAUAGAAGCCCCCAAGGUUUGCAUACAUUGCCAACCAUGGCCGAGCUGUUCCACGAACAAUUCCUCCACAAACAGCUAAGGGGAAGUUUACAACUUCAAUCACUGCCAUUAGCAGCAUCAUCUUUUUCACUCCUGUUAUGAUUCCUUUGUCAUGGCUAAACAGAGGAGCCCAAACGCCUCUCGCGCCCACCAUUGCCAAUGCACCAACGCAACCGGAAAUUGUGCUCACUGCAAGAGUUACGUAUGCAGACUGGUAGGCGGCUAUGGGCUGGUUUGAACCGAGCUCAUUAGAUACACGAGUAGAUGCACACGUGGCAAGUGAUAACAUCACAGAGUAGAGCAAGUAGUCGAAGUUCAGAACGAUAGCAAUCACUCCGACUGCCUGCUUGGCAUUCCGUAGCCUUCCGGUAAGCAAGACUAGAAUCUCAUAGCACCACCAUUCAAGGCAGGUGGUAAGACAACAUGGUCCACUAAGCUUGAGCAGUCUAAGCCAGUCUUCAACUCGUUGAUCCCACCAUCCUCCCUCAUUCCAGUUCUCUCCCUUUCUAUUCUCUUUCACCACUACAUACAAGACCAGAAGGAUUGCAGCUAUGAGAUCGCUUAUCCAGAUUGCCAUCGAAACCCCUUCAAUACCCUUAGCUUUUGCAAGAAAGAUAUUGAUGGGGAUGUGAAAAGCAAGCGCUAAAGCCGAGCUAAACAUGAUGGGGAUAGUUAUGCUUUGAGAGCUCAAAUAGGCCUUGAGAGGGCAUAGCAAUGAAGUGACAACCAAAUCAGGUAGAAGAUAGAAAAGAUACGUCUUUGCAACAGCUGAAAUGUCUUCUUUUUGGCCAAAAUGGAUUAGAAUUUUAUCAACAUUAAGCCACAGGAACGAAACAGGUAGUGUAGUUAACAGUAACAAGAUUAUGGCCAUCAAAAGUGUCUUGUGAAGGAGCCUGAAGUUUUUAGCUCCAAAAGCUUGACCACAGAUAGGUUCCAUGGCACCACAAAGUCCAUUGAGGAAGGAGAAACCGGUGACAUUAGCGAAGGUGAAACCGAGUGUGCCACCGGCUAACUGGAGCUCCCCAAGCCUGCCUAGAAAAGCUGUAGUCACCGCGAUCUUCACAAACCAGGUUAAGUUCAUGGCCACCAAUGGAAGUGCUAGUCCUCUCUGUAUUUUCAGCUCUGAAAGCAUUAUCUGCAAUAGGUUGGCCUGCCAUUUCUUGGUGGGAUAUGAAACUGAAGGUGACUGAGAUGGUUUGUCAGUUGGGAUCUCUACCACUCUUGAUGUUGCAGUUGCAGGCAUUAUGGAAGUAAAUUGGUGGGGUUGCUCCAAAAUCCGAAUAUAUAAGAUGGGAAAUCUGGUUUGUUUAAAUAAGAAAGAAUUGAUGGCUGAAUGCCUGCUAGUGCAUGAGUUUCGUGAGGGUAUCAAUUAUUGCAAGCUCGUUACAGCCAAUUAAUGAAGAGAGAGUUGGGUGGUCGAUUUAUAGUGCGUGAUGAUAAGGCAAAACAUCUUCACAUUUCGUGAGAUAUUCGUUUCAUUGGUUUUUCUUUCAUUAGAACGUUUACUUUUACUAUCUAAUUAACCAUUCUCUUUAGCACCUGAUUCAUUUGAUUAACUAGUAACUAGGAUGUCGUGUAAGGCAUCCAAUCAGAUGCUUUGCAUGCUUUCUUUUGUUCAUAUAGGGCGAAUAUAGCUUUGAAACAAGGGUAAUUGAAAACUCAUCCCUAUGUGAGAAGUUUCAAAAGAAAACUAAAUAAAGAACAUGAUCACAUAAUUUGCGAGAGAAAAACAACAGAAUGUUGACAUCUGGUUUCAGUUGCCAUUGCAUUGCAAUUAUAAAGGUGUACAAUAAUUGGAGGAUUAAUAUAAUGAAGGUGGGAUAUUUGGUGUAAAAGGUGGGAGCAAUAAUGCUGUGGCUUUUGAUGAAGAAUGGGGUUUUGCUGAAAAUUCUAUGCUAUAAGGAAUCAAAAGUGGGGUAGGUAGGCCAGUCCAUAUCUAAGUAUUUUGCUUUCAUUUUCUAAAGUAUGUAAUAGUUUAUUUAACAUUCUUAUCACUUCAUAUUUUAUCAGUUUACAUACAACUUUAUAGGAUAUAUAUAAAACAGAACUAAGUUAUAACUUCAGUGUUAAAGCUGUUGGAUGCAUUGAUAAAAAGUAUUGCAUCUCCUUUUAGAGCACUCAAGUUAAAAUUUUGAAGACGAAAUUGUUGAAAGAGAAAAUCAUAUAUUUGUAAAAAUUAAUAAUUUAAAUCAUAAAACGAACAUGAAGGAUACUUUCAUUAUACAAAAAAAAAAUUUACCUCUCUCUAAGAGUCGUGCAAUUAGGCAGAAUUAGAGUAUAAGUUCAAUGAAAUCAGUAGUAUUUUAUGUGAAAAGUUCUUAGGAAUAUACUGCCAAAACGCUAAGGAAUUAAUCACAUAUAGGAGGAAUGUAAGGAGUGCUACUUUAACGGAAGCAUUGUGCAAACAGAUUAUGUUAUUGGCUUAAUUCAGUAGCCUGAAAGGUAGGAUAACAUAAGACUUUUUGAGAUAAACAACACCCCAAUUACCAUAUCUUAUCAUAGUGAGAGUAAAAUAUUCAAUCAUUGGGAUUUCAAACAACUAUGCACCACAUCCCAAAAAAGGGUAUCUUUAUUUUUUUAGAAAAAAGAAGAGGCACCUGGUUUUAAUUUCAUUUUCACUUUUUAAUAACAUAGAUAAGAAAUGAUAGACACCAAUCUUAUUUGGUUUGAUGUAGAUGUUGCAGAGUCGAGUAGGUUGGAGAUGCAUGCACGGCAGCAUAGUGUUAUUAUCUAAUUAAUAGACCAUAUGUUGAAAGUUGGCAACAAUGCAUCAACAAGCAAAUGUCCAAUAUGUAAUUGGUUGAUUAAAUUUUUUUGUAAUAUGUGAUUUAUGUUUAGUUUGUUUGUAAUUUUUGUUUUGCUAAAGAUUAGUCAAAUACUUAGCUGAUUUAGUAGCCUCUUAGGUUAUUAUUAAGCUGAUUUUACAGUUUGGAUACUAGCACAAGUAAUGUUUUGUUUUCUUCUAAUGUAAUGAAGCUACUUAUGUACAUGUAAUGUUGCUUAUUCAAGUAAUAAGAGUUGUAUUUUCCUCUCAACCAACGCCUGUUUUGCUUCUGUUUUUCAUCUUUCAAACACAAAUUUUAUUUAUUGUUUUUGAUCUUUGUAUGCUGACAUAACUCAACAAAUGGUAUCAAGAGCCUGUCAUCUUUGAGGGCCUUUUGCUGUGUGUUGUUCAUUUUGAGUGAUCCGUGCUUGAAAGAAAAGAAACAUAAGCUGUUUUUGUUGGUUUGUUUAGUUGUUGCAAAAGAAUGAGUUUCUUACCACCACCACCAGCACCACCUGUUUUUGCUGGUGAAAAUUACAAUAUUUAGGCUACGAAAAUGAAAACAUACCUGCAGGCUUAUGAUCUGUGGAGUGUUGUUCAAGCUGACACAGAGCCACCACCUUUGAGAGCUAAUCCAACCAGCUCAAAUUAGGCAGCACAAUGAGGAUUGUGCCAAAAAGUAUAAGGCUAUGUCAUGCCUUCAAAAUGGAGUCUCAGAUGUAAUCUUCACAAGGAUAAUAGCUUGUGACACUCCAAAGAAGGCCUAGGACAGACUCAAUGAAGAGUUUCAAGGGUCAGAUAAAACUAGGCAGCAGCAGUUGAUCAACCUAAUGAGGGACUUCGAGAAUCUGAAGAUGAAGGAGUCUGAAUCCAUCAAGCAGUAUUUUGACAGGAUUAUGGCUACAGUUAACAAUAUUAGGCUUCUUAAGGAUGAUUUCAGUGACAAAAGAAUAGUUGAAAAGGUCAUUACAACUCUUUCUGAGAAGUAUGAGUCAAAAAUCUCUUCCUUGGAGGACUCUAGGGACCUAUUAGCUAUAUCUUUGACAUAGUUGAUAAAUGCUCUCUAUGUACAAGAGUAGGAAAGGGCAAACAGGAUGGAGGAGCAUUCUGAAAGAGCCUUUCAGGCUAGAAUCAAAGAAAGAUCAAGGUCGAGCUCAAGUUACAAGGGCAAGAAACCUUGGUUUGAAAAGAAAGAAAAAGGAAAAUAAAGAUGCUGCAAAAAAGAAGUUUCCACCAUGCAUUCACUGCAAGAAGUCCACUCAUUUAGAAAAGUAUUACUGGUAUAGGCCUGACAUUCAAUGUAGAAGUUGCAAGCAACUUGGUCACAUGGAAAAAGUUUGUAAAAACAAGGAAAAAACACAGUCAUAGCAAUAGAAUCAAGCUCAAGCUAUUGAGGAUGUUCAAGCUCAGGAGGAGCAUAUUUAGACUGCUUAUUGUUUUGCAAGUUCGAGCAAGGUCAGAAAUAAUUAGUUGAUUGACAGUGGUUGCACUUAUGUAUCAGACAAAGGCAUGUUUAGGGAACUAGAUACCAGCUUUGUGUCCAAGGUCAGAAUUGGGACUGGUGAAUUCAUUGAGGCCAAAGGCAAAGGGAAAGCAGUGAUUUGCACUCAAUCAGGUAAUAAAACAAUUUCAGAAGUUCUUUUUGUACCAUAUAAUGACCAGAAUUUACUUAGUGUUGGUCAGUUGUUAGAGAAGGGUUAUUCCCUUAUUUUUGAAGGAAAAACUUGUGUGAUUAAGGAUCUUUUUGGUCAAGUGCUUGUGACAGUAGCUAUGCAUGACAGAUCCUUCACUCUAGAUGUGAAUCAGUUAGAAGCAAAGGCAUAUAUUACUCUAACUGAUGAAUCAUGUUUGUGGCAUAAGAGAUUGGGACAUGUGAACUAUAAGUCACUUGAUUUACUGCAUAAGAUGAGCCUAGUUGAAGACAUGUCCAAUAUUGAGCCUAAAAAUGAAGUAUGUGAGGCCUGUCAGCUUGGCAAGUAGACUAGACUACCUUUUCCUAUUAACAAAGCUUGGAGAGCUCAAGAGAGGCUCUAACUAGUCUAUACUGAUAUUUGUAGACCUAUAAAGACCUCCUCUUUAAAUGGCAGCAAGUAUUUUGUGUUGUUCAUUGAUGAUUGCACCAGAUUCUGUUGGGUGAGUUUUUUGAAUCAAAAGUUAGAGGUGGCUGGUUUCUUUUGCAAGUUUAAGGCCUUAGUUGAGAAUCAAGCAAGUUGUAAGUUGAAGGUAUUGAGGUUAGAUAAUGGGACUGAAUAUGUGUCUCAAAAGUUUCAGGAGAUUUAUGAUGAAGCUGGAAUUCAGCAUCAGUUAACCAUCAUCUACACACCAUAGUAAAAUGGUGUUUGUGAGAGGAAGAACAAAACUGUUCUUAAUAUAGCCAGGUGUUUGUUGUUUGAAGGGAAAAUGCGUAACAUUUUUUGGGCUGAGGCAGUAAAUACCUCUGUGUAUUUACUCAAUAGACUACCACCAAAUGUAGUCAAAGGCAAAACACCAUUUGAAGCUUGGUUUGAACACAAGCCUACUGUCUUACACCUGAAGGUGUUUGGCUGCAUAUGCUACACACUUGUGCCAGCUGAAAAGAAAACCAAGCUAGAAAAGAGGUCCAUGCCUAGAGUCUUUAUUAGCUAUAGUAGCAUAAAGAAAGGGUAUAGGGUCUUUAAUCCAUCCACUAAAAGGAUUGUUGUGAGCAAAGAUGUAAAAUUCAAUGAAGGCAACUGUUGGAAAUGGGAUGGAAUAGAUGCAAGCCUGUCUGAGCAAGACCAGUAAGAUCUUGACUUGCAACAUAUUGAGAAUGAAGCUGAAAUUGAGGAAGUAUAUGAUGAUGUACCUGUCAGAGUUACAAGGACUAUUAUGGACAUCUCUGAAAGAUGUGAUAUGACCAUUGUUGAGCCUUUCAACUUUAAUGAGGCUACAAAGGAGGGUUGCUGGAAAAAACAAUGGAGUUAGAAAUGGAAAUGAUUCACAAAAAUGAUACAUGGGAGUUGGUUGAUAGGCAGAUGGAUUUUUCCAGGAAGAGAUCUUUGUUGAGCAGCCAGAUGGAUUCAAGGUUCUUGGUGAAGAGCACAAGGUUUACAUGCUCAAGAAGGCUUUGUAUGGCCCAAAACAGGCUCCAAGGGCCUGGUAUGACAGAAUUGAUGCCUACUUGUCAAAGCUGGGGUUCGAAAAAAACAUUAGUGAGCCUACACUCUAUGUGAAGAAAUUUGAGAAAGAAACUUUACUGAUUGUGUCAUUGUAUGUGGAUGAUUUACUAGUUACUGGUUGUAGGAAUGAAUUGAUUGAAGAAUUCAAGAAACAGAUGCAAGAUGUCUUUGAGAUGACUGAUGUAGGUUUGAUGACCUGCUUUCUUGGUAUGAAAGUAAAUAAGAAUGAGCAUGGCAUCUUCAUAAGCCAACAUGCUUUUGCUCUAAAGAUUUUAAGCAAGUUUUGCAUGGAAAACAACAAACCUGGUAGCACUCCUGUGGCACAAGGAGAAAAACUCUCCAGCAAUAGUGACCAUGAACGAGUGGAUGAGAAGGGCUAUAGAAGUCUAGUUGGUUGCCUGCUCUAUUUAACAGCAACAAGGCCAGAUAUCAUGUAUGCAGUCAGCCUUCUAUCAAGGUUCAUGCAUUGUUAAAAUGUUGCUCAUUUCAAGGCUGCAAAAAGAGUCUUAAGGUAUGUCAAAGGGACCUUAAGCUAUAGAGUGAAGUUUGUGAAGGUUGAGGAGCUGAAACUGGUUGGCUAUUCAGAUAGUGACUGGGCAGGCUCAAUUGAUGACAUGAAGAGCACAUCGAGCUAUUUUUUCACUUUAGGUUCAGGGGUUUUUUGUUAGAGUUCUAAGAAACAACAAACAGUAACUCAAUCCACUGCAAAGACAGAGUACAUUGCAGCUGUGACUGCUGUUAAUCAAGCCAUUUGGCUUAGAAAACUUUUGAGUGACUUGAAUGUUGAUCAAGAGGAAACAACAGAGAUCAAAGUGGAUAACUAGUCAGCUGUUGCUAUUGCCAAGAAUCCUGUAAUUCAUGGCAAGACCAAGCACUUUAAGAUCAACUAUUAAGGGAAGUCAAUUUGACUCACUGCUGUUCGGAGGUUCAGCUUGCAGACAUUCUGACCAAGCCACUAGCUAAUGCAAGGUUUGAGUAUUUGAGGAAAAGAAUUGGAGUCUGCUGCUUUGUGGCCAAUGAGGAGUGUUGAAAGUUGGCAGACCAAGCACUUCAAGAUCAAGUAUCAUUUUGUAAGGGAGACAGAACUAUCAAGGGAAGUCAAUUUGACUCACUGCUGUUCGGAGGUUCAGCUUGCAGACAUUCUGACCAAGCCACUAGUUAAUGCAAGGUUUGAGUAUUUGAGGAAAGGAAUUGGAGUCUGCUGCUUUGGGGCCAAGGAGGAGUGUUGAAAGUUGGCAACAAUGCAACAACAAGCAAAUGUCCAAUGUGUAAUUGGUUGAUUAAAACUUUUUGUAACAUGUGACUUAUGUUUAGUUUGUUUGUAAUUUUUGUUUUACCAAGGAUUAGUCAAGUACUUAGCUGAUUUAGUAGCCUUAGGUUAUCAUUAAGCUGAUUUUAUAGUUUGGAUACUAGCACAAGUAAUGUUUUGUUUUCUUCCAAUGUAAUGAAGCUACUUAUGUACAUGUAAUGUUGAUUAUUCAAGUAAUGAGAGUUGUCAAUUUUUCCUCUCAAUCAACGCCUGUUUUGCUUUUGUUUUUCAUCUUUCAAACACAAAUUUUAUUGUUUUUGAUCUUUGUAUGUUGACAUAACUCAACACCAUAUCAAUCCUCUAUCAUUUGAUUCUACACAAAUUUUUACAAUAAUGAGCUGUUUUGAUGCAAUCAAAGUUCAAGCCUGUAUACACAUACUCUUGAAGUUAAUGAUUGGCAGGAUUCGCUGCUGCACUAUAAGGGCCUUAUUUGAUGAAAGAUGCAUGGUCGGAAAUGAUUGAGCAAUAUCUGGCUGGAAAGCCACCUCAUCUUCCAACUUCUUUUGUUUUCUUUAUCUAAUUAAGCACUCGUAGGCUAUUCAGAUAAGUCCCAAAUUGCAAUUAUAUGGAAGCUUUAAUAAUUAAGCUUUGAAGAUUGUGAAGUUUGUGCAAAGCCACACUGUCAAAUGGCCAAUUCCGACCCCAUAAAUUACAAAAAGAAUCAGUCAAAGCAAUGAAAAGGGAUUAAGGCAAAGACCAAGGAUACCCCAUAGUGUUACCAAUUCUCUAGUUUUGAUUGCAGGGAUAAAGACCAAUAACCUAAAUUCAAUCCACCAUUCUCAAUAAGCUAUCUCCAUACCCAAUCUGUGACUAAAAACAUCAAUAACUUCCAUGAGAGUUUAUGGUAAAGCUUAAUCAAAGUAUACAAGCUCAUUGACACUAAUGGGGGCAAACCAAUCAUGAUAUUAUUAUUAUAGUCUUUGAUUUAAUUUUUUAGUGGAAUCAAAGUUGUACCUCUUAACUUUGUUUCACUCCAUAAAUGAUGGGUGCAUGAUGACAACACAGCUGGAUUUACUUGCCAAUUGAGUCAAGGAAGGAAACGCUAAAAAGAUAGACAGAGACGUAACACAAAAGAAGAAAAAUAAAGUUCAAAUUUUCUUGUACUCCUCUUAAAUCUUUGAUCAUUGCCACAAAAAAACAAGAAUGCAAGAGUUUUAUUGGUUUCAAUUUUGAAAAUGAUCCCAUAUAAGUUAUCUAUCAAUUAAAAUGAACUCCAAGUAUCUGCAUUUUAAUUGUUAUUAGUGAUAGAUUUUGAUAAUGAAUAUUGUACCCAUUAACAUUUAUUGAUAGCAAAAUAAUUGUGGAAGAAAGCUACUUCAUGAUUUAAUUAAAGCUACAUUCAAACAUUUCACAGUGUCAAUUAUGAUGAUAAUGAUUUAUCUGUAAUUAAUUCAUUUGAGAAAUCAAAUUUCAACAGGACAAAUCAUGUAAUGAACUUUUAAAUGGGCCGUUCUUGCUAUGGAAAUUUGGAUCAAUUAAGUGGAUUCGUCUCAAUCUUGGGCCACUUAACAAAUAAUUUUGCUGCAAAUCAGAUUCAUUUCAUGAAUAUACAUACUAAUCAGUUCAACAAAUACUUACAUUAAUGUGUUAUUGUAUUGUACACAAUAAUCAUAAUCAAGAAUGCAAUAUUAUACCCGACAAAACUCACAUUACGGUUUACGAAAACUUAUUAUACACCGUCGAUAAAUCAUUAACCACAUUAUUUAAUAAUUCAUAAAAAUCAAUCAACGAAUUGCUUAGCACUUGUAGUUGAUAAUGGCAAUGCACUUACCUCACGGUUUUGUCAUUGCACGUGUAGAAACCACAAAUUUCGUUACUUAAUAAUAUGAGAUUUCAAGAGCAUCUGAUAAUCAAAGUUGACUCUUAGAUUAUUCCUUAUUUUAAAUCAUAUAUUUAUUAGUCUCCAAUCCUAUGUCUUUUAAAUUUCAUAGCAAAUGUACUCUUUUUUCUAUUAAAAUAAAUUCCCAUAAUUCUAUUUCAGAUAUUGCCUAGCUUUUAAACACACAUGGUUCAUUCUUUAGGCUUACAUCAAUGCUUCUUAACAUUAUAGCACCUAAUGAUGCUGUCUACUUUUCAAUGGUCAUUAUAAAAUUCCUACUAAAUUCAUGGACUACACACCUUAGCUAGGCUAUUCAAGUUUCUAAAUUCUCAACAAGGUUUUUAAUCAACCAUUUUGAUCUUGCCUUUGCUUGGAAUGUCACCACUUUCCUUUGCUUGAAAUUUAAACCAAUAACAAAAUCCAAGCUAAUAAUUACUAUGAUGAGGGGAGAGAAUAUCAUUAAAAUAAAACAUAUUAAAUCAAAUAGUAAAUUAGUUAUUUUUGUUAAAAUUUUUAUUUAUUUCUAGUUACUGUACAUCAACAUGAAGUACGUGUGGCAUGCCAUAUGUUACUGUUUGAUUAUUUUAUCAACUAUAUUAGUUUUUAAUAGUACAAAUAGAUAAAAUUUUUAACAAAAAAUAAAUCUACUCUUUGAUCUAAUAUAUAAAAAUUAAUUUACUCAUUUUAAAAAAAUACAAUCGACUCUCAUUACAUAAAUCUAUAAAACUUUUACCUCACCUCAUUAUUUCGAUUGGCCCCAAUCGCAAUAAUAGCAAGAGGGAGAGAGAGAAUGGCUCCUCAAUCAGACUUUUCAAAGCCAUGCAAACUAAGGGCGUCGCCAAGGGGUUGGCAAUGGCCCCAAUACUCCUUAAAAUUGAAAAUUUUUAUUUAGGUCUUUUAAAAUUUUUAAAAAUUUAAAUUAGUAAAGAUAAAAUUUCACUUUGACGUUCUAAAAAUGAUUCAAAUCUGAUUUAAUAUUUUAAAAAUGAUAAAUAUAUAAACUAUUAAAAUGAUGAAAUUGUAUUUUUACUAUCGUAAAAAUUACCAUUUAAUUUCGACUCCUCCUAAAAAUAAUUUCUAACUUUACCCUUGAUGCAGACCAAACAUAAAAAGUGUCUCCAUAUUAUAAUUAACUUCAUUUUCUCUCUCUCUCUCUUUUAAAAAAAAAUUAAAUUUGAAAAUAGAAAAUCAUGAUUUUAUGAAGACCAAUAAUUAAGAUUGAAAUACUAUGUAAUAUUACAUGUUGAUAUGUUACUUAAAUAUGAUUCAAAUAAAGUUUUCACUAUUCAGUAAAUCGUUAUCGAAUAAAUACUAAUAAAAUAAUAUUAUUAAGGCUUUUUUCAGAUAGUUGAUGUGUUUAUCUUAAGUGAAGUUAAAAAUAAUGGUUAUAAUGAGAUUAAUUAUCGUAGAAAUAAAAUUAAAUAUUGUAGCGGUGAAAUUAAAAUCAACGUGGGAUGUGUGUUUAGAUCCAAAUGCAGAUGAAGUAGAAAUGAAAAUUGAUUAUUAAAGAUAUUAAUUUAAAGUAUGGUUAUAAUAUAAUAAAUAAUUAUUUAAUAUCAUUAUAUAUUAACGCCAUUUUUUAGUUACAUUGGCACACCAAUAAAUUUAACCUAAAAAAUUAAUAAUAUUAAUAAUUGAACCUAAAUUUUAAAAUCUAAAAGUAGAGAUUAAAUUUCUAAAAAUAAAAAUAAAAUAAAAAUAUAAUGAUUAAAAUUUAAAUUUGUGAAAAGUUGACUGACUUAUAACUUAUUUUAACCAAUAUAAUAUUAUUUGAAACCCAAGUAAUAUUUUGCCUACGUACCUCUAGUUUCAAAGGCAGAUCAGCCAAAUAAAGGUUGUUAUUAUUAGGUUAUGACGUAGGUUCAUGCCCUCAUUACAAAUUUAGAAUUUUAUCUAUUUAUUUUUAAUUUUAGGAAUUCAAUCUUUCUACUUUUUAUAUUUCAAAAUUUAUGUAAAACUAUUAGUAUUGUUUUCUUUUCUAUUAAAUUUGUUGGUGUGAUAUUUUGUAAUUAAUAAAAUUACUUACUUGGUAGUGAUGAAACUGAAAAAUUACAUUGUCGUAACUCGUAUCCGUCCCCAGAAUAGGGUUUCGGAGCAUUGCCGAGUAACCAUAAUCUAAUUCAUUCAUUUCAAAACAUUUCAAAAAUCAUAAUAUAAUUCAUCAUUAACAUGCAAAACAUCCCUCAUUCAAGCCUUCGAGGCCUAAAAAUCACUUUAAAAAUGUUUUGAGACUAAAUCGGAAACAUUUAAAAAUUUUAGGAAAAAGUUAGAAAAUUUCAACUGGAGAACUUAGCAGAGAAUAAAUCAAAAAAAUAAUUCAAUGAUAACCAAGAAGACAAACAAUACAUAGGAAAGAAUCCACCUAUACCUCAUCUAUCAUUAUGAAUCUGAAUUAAAUGAUUUAUUCACUUGGUAUCUUGAUUCGUAAAAAACCCUAAAAUUAUGCUAAUAUCUCUUUCAAGAGUAAGAGCAACUAACUCUAGGUUGAUUAAUUGAAAUUUCUUUCUAAUUAAAACCCUUAUUAUCGCAUUAAUUCGAUCUAUGGAUUCCCCUAUUAGAUUUGAGUCUAACACGGUAGAUUUAUGUCGUCCUAUUUCUAGGAUUGCAUGCAACUUCACUUAAUUAUGCUAGAUUUACUCUUAAAUAGGGACUUUUCCUCCUCUGAUUUAAACACAUUAAACAUAAAUUAAUAUCUUAAUAAUAUUAAAACAAGAAAUAAACACACAUAACUGAUAACAAAAUUCAAGUAUUUAUCGCAUAAAACAAAAAUCAAAUAACAAAAUUUAUCAUAGGUAUCUAGAGAAUUAGUUCAUAAUUGUAAAUAAAAACAUCUCUAAGACAGAAUAACCACAAAAAAUAAAGAAACUCAUAAAAACUUCAAAGAAAUUAAAAGGAUGUCUUUAAUCUUGAUGGAAAUCUAUUUCAGAGUUGGCUUCAAUGAUGUUCUUCGAGUUAUUUUCUUAAAUACUCUCUGAUCGCCUCCUCUUCUCUUCUUCUAUUUGGUAUUUAUAGACUUUAGAAUGCCAAAAAAGCCUUCAAGAUUUGACGAUAGAAAGGUUUGGUGGAAUAGAAGUCUUGCCAGACUGGUUGGGAAAUCUCUCUUCUCUAAGGCGUCUAUAUUUGAGUGGUUUUGGAAAGCUAAAGAUUCCUCACCAACUUCAACUCCUCACUGCCCUUGAAGAUUUGACUAUGCAGGGGUUUCAUGAAAUAUAAGCCUUGCCAGAAUGGUUGGGAAAUCUCUCUUCUCUAAGGCAUCUAUAUUUGAGUGGUUUUCGGAAGCUAAAGAGUUUUACUCACCAACUUCAACUCCUUUCUACCCUUUAAUAUUUAACGAUAGAAGAGUUUCAAGGAAUAGAAGCCUUGCCAGAGUCAUUCAGAAAUCUCUCUUCUCUAAGGAGGCUGAGAAUCCGUUCAUGCAAGAAGCUCAUGUACCUGCCUUCUGUAGAUGUUAUGAGAAGCCUCCCCAAAUUAAAAAGAAUUGACAUUGCAAAUUGUUCUCAAUUAGAGACAAGAUAUGAGAGGGAGAGUGGCCCUGAAUGGUCCAAGAUUUCCCACAUUCCACGUAUAUAUAUUAAUGAUCAGCGGUAAGUUCAAUAUCUUAAACCACAACACUCUGCAUCUUUUGGCCUUUGAUGAAAAAUAUAUCAUUUUCACUUUGAAUCCUUCUUAUAAUUAUCUAUUCCAUUUGUUCUUUUCAUUCUAAGACGUUUUGGUGCCUUAAUGGCAUAUAUAAUUUUAAGGAAAAACCUUCGAGUAUAGUGAGUGGCCGUGAAUGGGGAAUCACAUUUCACAUAUAUGUAUUAGUUUACGAAUGUAAGUUCACAACUGCAUCUUUCGGCUUUUGAUAUAGUAUAUACUAAUUCUCUAUUGAUACUGUUUAUAGUUAUUCCCUUUGUUCUUCUCCUCCUAAGCUACUUGGUUCAGUCUCAUAUAAAACCUUCUUUUAAAAUUAUUUGGCUUUUGUGGCAUAAUGUUGCACGAUUUAGUUUGGGCAUGGAUACUUUUGAGCCUAUCAGUUCGAGCACCAAAUUAUGAAUUGAAUCUACGGACACAAAAGUAAGUUCUGUUUCUAAUUUCCUUUCCAUGAAAAUUAUGACAUUUUUCCUUUCCAUCUUAUUGCUGCCCUCUCUUACGAACUUCACAAAUCAUAUUGUAUUGUAAGUUAUCUAUAUUCAUUUAAGGUAAGUGGUGUAUGACCAUUGAUAAAAUUUCCAUGGAUAUUUUAUAAGGAAAUUUCUUUCUUUUCGAACUUUUAUUCUUUUGUAUUUGAGAAUCAUAGAUCAUGCAACCAAUAAAGGCCAGCUUUGAUUUGCAAUUGUGAUUGGAACUUUUGGGAUUGACAACAAAUUCACCAUACUUUGGAUUCUAAACAGAAGCUUCCUUGCAAGAACUGAUGUUAAGUUGUGAUCAAUGAGGAAGUUUCUUGCAAGACUUCGAGUUCCUUCUCAUUCAAUUUAUGGUACUUCAUUCUAUGGUUAUCUUUGCAAUUUACAAACUGACUUAUGUUUUUAUUUGAUAAAGAUUUUGUGGUUCCUAAUUUAAGGACGGUGAGAUUUUCUGUUUUAACCUUUUGUUAAAACAAGUACUGCUAACAUUUCAAGAAUUAUCCAGUGUUCACCCAUGAAAUUUCUGAACUUGAGUCAGAGUGAAUUUAUCUUGUUUUCAACAUUGAAGAGCUAUAAUAUAAAAGACAGCUUUGGUUCAGCAAUGCGACGUUGAACAACUCUUCGAUCGGAGGUUCGUUCGAUAUAUGUAUCAGCUGAUAUUUGGACAAUGGUUGGAAUGUUUGAGGAUUUCGAUUGUGUACAGCUGGAUUUUUCAUCAGGAUUUUGUAGCUUCAGGUUUUCUUGUUUCUCUUUGCUUGAAAUUAUUUGUUGAUAGUUUUGUUAAAGUUUGUUGUGACUUUGUAUUGUGAUUUUGUAGCAAAACUUUUGAGUAUAGUGAAACUUUUACGACGUGCCGUAAUUUUUACUUCCAUAAAAAAAAAUUCUAGCAAUAAACAAUAAUAAAAUUUCGGGAGCAGAAAGCGCUAACAAUAAAUCAACCACACACCAGCGCGUGAAAUGCUAAUAGAAUUCCCAGGGGCACAAGCAACCCGCACAAUAAUCAUAAUAAAAAAUAUACUCGACAAAACUCACCCUACAGUUUACAAAAACUUAUAUUCCAUCGAUACAUCUUUAACCCAACUAUUCAAUAAUUUAUACAAAUCAAUCAUCGAAUUACUUAACACUUGUAAUUAAUAAUGGCAAUGCACUUACCUCAAGGUUGUCGUUGCAUGUAGAAAGCACAAAUUUCGUUAAUAACAUGAGAUUUCAAGAGCAUCAACUGAUAAUCAAAAUUACUUAGCUUAUGCCUUAUUUUAAAUCAUCUAUUUAUCAGUCACCAAUUCCAUGUCUUUUAAAUUUCAUAGCAAAUAUACUCUUUUUCUUUUUCUAUUAAAAUAAAUUCCCAUAAUUCUAUUUCCGAUAUUGCCUAGCUUUUAGACAAAUAUGGUUCAUUCUUUAGGCUUACAUCAACAUUAUACCACCUACUAUAAUACUAUCUAUGUUGCAGGCCAUUUUGCCCGGGCCCAGUAAUAAACCCCCAGCCCAAAGCCCAUCAAAACUAAUACAAACCCAAAACAAAUUAAACCCAAACUUUCAAUACCCAACUAACUUAAACAGCCCAAAUGGCCCAACCAAAAAAAAAAGGAAACAGAAAACCCUAGCAGAAAACAGAAGAACCCUAGGCGCCGCUCCUAGGGUCUUCUGACUUUUGGUCUUCUGCCCACCUGCUCUGCCAGCAACCACCGCCAACUGCCACCGUCACUUCCAUCCACGUGCGUUGAUCCCUGCAAACAAAUCAAGGCAAGCGAGACAGGCAUAGGCAUAGACUAGGGAUUUCAUGUAAAUCGGCUUUAAAAGCCGAAACUAAGAACAUGUAAAGGGGGCUUUUUGUUUUUAUUUUCGGUAAAAAAAAACGAUUCUAAAACCGAUUGUAUCAGAUUUCAAUAGAUAAAAAGGAAAAGAAAAAGAGAUUGAAGAAAAUUUUUGGUAUAAGCUUUAUUUUUCUUUUGAUUUUUCUUCCUUUCGAACUGUUUGUAUCCUUCAUUUUUAUUUUUCUUUUACUUAAAAAAAAACUAUAUAUAGCAUAUAAAAAAAUUACCUUUGGGAUUUUCCGGCCACCGUACGACGGCGGCCGGUGGUGUCGACGGCGAUUUCCCUCGCUGGAUUUUGGGCAGUGCUGGAGGGAGAGAGGAUUUUUUUGAAGAGAAAUCAUUUUUUUUUCUUUGAAAGAGCAGAAAAU